AUUGAACGCUGGCGGCAGGCUCAACACAUGCAAGUCGAGCGGAGAGAGGUAGCUUGCUACUGAUCUUAGCGGCGGACGGGUGAGUAAUGCUUAGGAAUCUGCCUAUUAGUGGGGGACAACAUUUCGAAAGGAAUGCUAAUACCGCAUACGUCCUACGGGAGAAAGCAGGGGAUCUUCGGACCUUGCGCUAAUAGAUGAGCCUAAGUCGGAUUAGCUAGUUGGUGGGGUAACGGCCUCACAAGGCGACGAUCUGUAACGGGUCGGAGAGGAUGAUCCGCCACCCUGGGACUGAGACCCGGCCCAGACUCCUACGGGAGGAAGCAGUGGGGAAUAUUGGACAAUGGGCGCAAGCCUGAUCCAGCCAUGCCGCGUGUGUGAAGAAGGCCUUAUGGUUGUAAAGCACUUUAAGCGAGGAGGAGGCUACUGAGACUAAUACUCUUGGAUAGUGGACGUUACUCGCAGAAUAAGCACCGGCUAACUCUGUGCCAGCAGCCGCCGUAAAAC
rnacentral:rRNA from 1 species